UUACGCGUAGCGUAAUGUAUUACCGGAGGUAAAGCACUGACCGGCCUAGGGGUCGAAAGAUUACCGAAGCCUAUCAAACUAAGAAUGCCGGAUAAUAUAGAAUGGGAGUCAGACAGUGUGAGAUAAGUCUCAUUGUCAAAAGGGAAACAGCCCAGACCUACAGCUAAGGUCCCUAAUGUAUGUUAAGUGGAAAAGGAUGUGGAAUUGCGAAAACAACCAGGAUGUUGGCUCAGAAGCAGCCACUCAUUAAAAGAGUGCGUAAUAGCUCACUGGUCGAGUGAUUCUGCGCCGAAGAUGUAACGGGGCUAAACAUACAACCGAAGCUUGGGAUAUAUCUUAAAGAUAUGUGGUAGGGGAGCGUUCUGUUAUAGGGAGAAGCGAUAGCGAAAGCGGUCGUGGACGAAACAGAAGUGAGAAUGCCGGAAUGAGUAGCGAGAAUUAUGUGAGAAUCAUAAUGGCCGAAAAUCUUAGGUUUCCGGGGGAAGGCUCGUCCACCCCGGGUAAGCCGGAGCUAAGGUGAGACCGAAAGGUGUAGCCGAUGCACAUACGGUAGAAAUUCCGUAGCCAUCGAAAUUGUUAAGUAAGAGGACGCUUGGAGAUAGGAUAACCCCGCAGUUGGUGAUGGGGCGAAAGGGAUCGAAAUAUAGUAGAGAAGUAUCCGAUGCUCCGAGACGAGAAAAGUCUUAUGAAUUGAUUAGAUGACCGUACCGCAAACCGACACAGGUAGAUGAGGAGAGAAUCCUAAGGCCAGCGAGAGAAAGGUUGUUAAGGAACUCGGCAAAAUUACCCCGUAACUUAGGGAUAAGGGGAGCUCUCGAAAGAGAGCCGCAGCGAAUAAGCCCAGGCGACUGUUUAGCAAAAACACAGGUCUCUGCUAAAUCGAAAGAUGAUGUAUAGGGGCUGACGCCUGCCCAGUGCUGGAAGGUUAAGGAGAGAUGUCAGAGCAAUCGAAGCAUUGACCCGAAGCCCCAGUGAACGGCGGCCGUAACUAUAACGGUCCUAAGGUAGCGAAAUUCCUUGUCAGGUAAGUUCUGACCCGCACGAAUGGCGUAACGAUCUGGGCACUGUCUCAACAGCCUGCUCGGUGAAAUUGUAGAACUGGUGAAGAUGCCAGUUACCCGCGAUUAGACGGAAAGACCCCAUGGAGCUUUACUGCAGCUUGAUAUUGGGUUCUGAUGAUAGAUGUACAGGAUAGGUGGGAGACUUAGAAACAGAGGCGUCAGCUUCUGCGGAGUCGCCGUUGGGAUACCACUCUUUUAUUAUUGGAAUUCUAACCUGUUCCCGUGAUCCGGGAAAGGGACACUGUCAGGCAGGCAGUUUGACUGGGGCGGUCGCCUCCAAAAGAGUAACGGAGGCGUUCAAAGGUUGGCUCAGCAUGGACGGAAACCAUGCAUAGAGUGUAAACGCAGAAGCCAGCCUAACUGCGAGAGAGACAUUUCGAGCAGUAACGAAAGUUGGAGUUAGUGAUCCGGUGGUAU
rnacentral:rRNA from 1 species